rnacentral:rRNA from 1 species
UACCGGAUAGACCAUACUUUAUCUGUUGCUGGAAAGUCUUGUUCGCGCAAGAUGAGCCCGCGGCCUAUCAGCUCUUGUGGGGUAAUGGCCUACCAAGGCGACGACGGGUAGCCGGCCUGAGAGGGUGUACGGCCACAAUGGGACUGAGACACGGCCCAGACUCCUACUGGGAGGCUAGCACUCGGGGAAUAUUGCACAAUGGGCGCAAGCCUGAUGCAGCGACACCGCGUGGGGGAUGACGGCCUUCUGGGUUCGUAAACUCCUUUCGCUAGGGAAGAAGCCACUGUGUGGUGACGGUACCUCGGAUAUACGAAGCACCGGCUAACUACGUGCCAGCAGCCGCGGUAAUACGUAGGGUGCGAGCCGUUGUCCGGACAUUACUGGGCGUAAAGAGCUCGUAGGAUGGUGUUGUCGCGUCGUCUGAUGAAAUCCCGGGGCUUAACUUCGGGCGAUGCCGCGAUACGGGCUAUAACAUAGAGUGCUCGUAAGGGGAGACAUGGAAUUCCCUCGAGUGUAAUCGCGUGAUAAUAGCGCCACGAUAUCAGGAGGAACACCCGAUGGCGAAAGAGCACGGAUCUCUGGGCACGUUUACUGACGCUGUAGGUAGCGAAAGCAUGGGUAGCGCAACACGGAUUAGAUAUCCCCUGGUAUGUCCACUAGCCCGUAAUACGGUGGGCGCUAUGGUGUGGGGGUUUUAUU